UGGCUGUCUGCAUGAUUGAACGCUGGCGGCAGGCCUAACACAUGCAAGUCGAGCGGUAGAGAGAAGCUUGCUUCUCUUGAGAGCGGCGGACGGGUGAGUAAUGCCUAGGAAUCUGCCUGGUAGUGGGGGAUAACGUUCGGAAACGGACGCUAAUACCGCAUACGUCCUACGGGAGAAAGCAGGGGACCUUCGGGCCUUGCGCUAUCAGAUGAGCCUAGGUCGGAUUAGCUGUCUGUGGUGAGGUAAUGGCUCACCAAGGCGACGAUCCGUAACUGGUCUGAGAGGAUGAUCAGUCACACUGGAACUGAGACACGGUCCAGACUCCUACGGGAGGCAGCAGUGGGGAAUAUUGGACAAUGGGCGAAAGCCUGAUCCAGCCAUGCCGCGUGUGUGAAGAAGGUCUUCGGAUUGUAAAGCACUUUAAGUUGGGAGGAAGGGUACUUACCUAAUACGUGAGUAUUUUGACGUUACCGACAGAAUAAGCACCGGCUAACUCUGUGCCAGCAGCCGCGGUAAAAGAGGGUGCAAGCGUUAAUCGGAAUUACUGGGCGUAAAGCGCGCGUAGGUGGUUCGUUAAGUUGAAUGUGAAAUCCCCGGGCUCAACCUGGGAACUGCAUCCAAAACUGGCGAGCUAGAGUAUGGUAGAGGGUGGUGGAAUUUCCUGUGUAGCGGUGAAAUGCGUAGAUAUAGGAAGGAACACCAGUGGCGAAGGCGACCACCUGGACUGAUACUGACACUGAGGUGCGAAAGCGUGGGGAGCAAACAGGAUUAGAUACCCUGGUAGUCCACGCCGUAAACGAUGUCAACUAGCCGUUGGGAGCCUUGAGCUCUUAGUGGCGCAGCU
rnacentral:rRNA from 1 species